rnacentral:rRNA from 1 species
UACGUAGGGUGCAAGCGUUGUCCGGAAUUAUUGGGCGUAAAGAGCUCGUAGGCGGUUUGUCACGUCGGAUGUGAAAACUCGGGGCUCAACCCCGAGCCUGCAUACGAUACGGGCAGACUUGAGUACGGCAGGGGAGACUGGAAUUCCUGGUGUAGCGGUGAAAUGCGCAGAUAUCAGGAGGAACACCGGUGGCGAAGGCGGGUCUCUGGGCCGAUACUGACGCUGAGGAGCGAAAGCGUGGGGAGCGAACAGGAUUAGAUACCCCAGUAGU